rnacentral:sRNA from 1 species
CCGCCCAAUGCGCCGCCCACACCUGCUUCUGUGGUGCCGCCGGCAGAGGCGACGCCGCUGACCAGGCCAAGGGACAACAAGAGAAUCGAGGAGAACUUCAUAGAGGAGCCUCAAAGGGAUGACGGCGCGAUCCUGAGGCUGUGUUGAGGCGCUUACAAUCGAAAUCCGACGAAUAGCACGAGUUGUACACAAUCUCGUAACUUAUUGUUUUUAGUAGGGAACUUAUCCCGUUUUUGCGAGUCUGUAGCUACUUGGAAAAGGCCGCUUCUGGAUGGAAGCGGCCUUUUUUGUGCCUGCGAUUUCGCCGCCGCUGGAACCUCCUGACUGUAGCCGCUGCCGCAGGCUGCGAUCGGCUCCGUAGGAGACGCUGCUCUUGAGGGCCCUGGAAGGCGCUGCGCG